CAUGGAGGGUGAGAAUCCCGUAUGGUUGAUCAAUUGCGUAUGUGAUACGUUUUCAAAGAGUCAAGUUGUUUGGGAUUGCAGCUUUAAAUGGGAGGUAAAUUUCUCCUAAGGCUAAAUAACGGCGAGAGACCGAUAGCGAACAAGUACCGUGAGGGAAAGAUGAAAAGAACUUUGAAAAGAGAGUUAAAUAGUACGUGAAAUUGUUGAAAGGGAAACGAUUGAAGCCAGUCGUACCGGCGGGUAAUCAGCCUUUUGGGUGUGAUUAUGUGGAGCGUGAGGAGCUAAUCACCUUCAUGCCUGCAUAUUCGUGCACUUUGGGUGUACUUGCUCGUGUGGUAGGUUAACAUCAAUUUUGAUCGUCAUAAAAUGAUUGGGGGAAUGUGGCUUCGAUCUCGUAUUGAAGUGUUAUAGACCCCGGUAGAUGUGAUGAUCGGGAUUAAGGAUCGCAACGGAUACCCUUCGGGGCUACCCGUCUGAUCUCUGAGGGUUGCAUCGGUGCCGAAAGCGUGCUUACGGUUAUCGAUAGUGAUGGUCAAAAGGUUAGAACGGGUUAAAUUCGUUAAGGAUGUUGACGUAAUGG
rnacentral:rRNA from 1 species